UACAAAAAUUCCACGGCAUUCCUCUUCUUCCCUUCUCCCUCUCUCUAAUCUCACACCUACCAUUCCUCUUCUCCAGAAUUUAAAAACUCCCAAGUUUGCUAUGUUUGAUUUUGGGGACGACCUCUUCAUCGGUAGUCACAGAAUACCAUGGCUGGUAUGGAUCCAGCUAAUAGUCAUGCUUCUCCUCGUAAUACUCCUUUACUAUUUCAUCGCCUUCGCUUUGGGACUAGAUCCCUCCCCCGCCGCAGGCGCCGCUUCGUCUUCCGCCGUCCUCCGCCGCAGCGAAACCUCCAGACACCGACCGCUGCCGAUCGCCACCGCUGUUUCUGCCGCCACCGCCGCUUCCAGCCGAUUAAACACUGCCAAGGCGGGUGAGAGCCAUAGUAUUAGAGGUGAUGCGGGAACAAGCACAAGCAGAAGAAGAGUAAGGAGAGAAGAAAUCCAAGAGAGGGAAGGAAGCUCUUCAGCAAAGGAUGCAACCGAUGCCCCAGCUUUGGAUCGAUAUUACCACCCGUGCCAUUAUCUAGGGUGGGCUAGACAAGCUUUUCUCAAGUGUUUGGGCUUGGAUCCCCCCUCAAGUAAUCCUUCCUCCAACACCAGACACAGAAAAGAAAAAUGAUGUAUGCAUCCCUCCCUCUGGCUCUGUGCACUCAGAUAUAUAGAUGUAUCUGUCACAUAUAAGCAUAUAUCUGAAUAUAUAUGUAAAACGGUACAGUGGAAGUUGGUCCUUAGGUUGGUUUUUUCAUCUCCGUAUGCAUGUAAAAUGGUACAGUGGAAGUUGGUGCAUUUCUGUUUUUUUUCAAAGGAAGAUGUUUUAACAGAGUUCUUGAAAUGAUUGAAAAGUGAAUGAGCAUAAUACCUGGAUAUUGAA